UUGGAGGGCAAGUCUGGUGCCAGCAGCCGCGGUAAUUCCAGCUCCAAUAGCGUAUAUUAAAGUUGUUGCAGUUAAAAAGCUCGUAGUUGAACUUCGGGGUUUACCCAUUGGUCAGGCUUAAUUGUCUGUACUGGUGAGAUAAAUCUCUACCUUCUGAGGAACUUUCAUGCCAUUUAGUUGGUGUGAUAGGAAAUCAGGACUGUUACUUUGAAAAAAUUAGAGUGUUUAAAGCAGGCUAACGUCUGAAUACAUUAGCAUGGAAUAAUGAAAUAGGACGGAUUGGUUCUAUUUCGUUGGUUUCUAGGACCACCGUAAUGAUUAAUAGGGAUAGUUGGGGGCAUUAGUAUUCAAUUGUCAGAGGUGAAAUUCUUGGAUUUAUUGAAGACUAACUAUUGCGAAAGCAUUUGCCAAGGAUGUUUUCAUUAAUCAAGAACGAAAGUUAGGGGAUCGAAGACGAUCAGAUACCGUCGUAGUCUUAACCAUAAACUAUGCCGACUAGGGAUCGGACGAAGUUAAUUUUAUAAUGACGCGUUCGGCGCCUUACGGGAAAC
rnacentral:rRNA from 1 species